GACGAACGCUGGCGGCGUGCUUAACACAUGCAAGUCGAACGGGCCCGCUCUCUUUUUUGGGGGUGGGUUGAGUGGCGAACGGGUGAGUAUCACGUGAGUAACCUGCCCCCUGCUCCUGGAUAACUGCUUGAAAGGGCGGCUAAUACGGGGUGUGCCGGCUGGUCCGCAUGGGCCUGGUCGGGAUAGUUUCAUCUUCGGGUGUUUCGGUGGGGGAUGGGCUCGCGGCCUAUCAGCUUGUUGGUGGGGUGAUGGCCCACCAAGGCGGUGACGGGUAGCCGGCCUGGGAGGGUGGGCGGCCACACUGGGACUGAGACACGGCCCAGACUCCGGCGGGAGGCAGCAGUGGGGGGUAGUGCACAAUGGGCGGAAGCCUGAUGCAGCGACGUCGCGUGAGGGAUGGAGGCCUUCGGGUUGUGAACCUCUUUCUCCGGUGGUGAAGGCCCUGUCCGUUGCGGCGGGGUUGACGGUAGCCGGGGAUGAAGCGCCGGCUAACUACGUG
rnacentral:rRNA from 1 species